UGUGUGCUCUGUGAUGGACUGGCGACCUGUCCAGGGUGUAUCCCACCUUUCACCCUAGGCCAGUUGGGAUUGGCUUCAGCAACCAUGCACAGAUAAGUGGGUAUAGAUGAUGGAUGGAUUUUAGUAUGAGCCUGAAAUCAUCUCAGGGGUAAAGCUAUAUGCUAUUGCACUGAUGGACACAUCGCAGUAACAUGCCAAUAUAGCAAUGACCCUACAAUGGGUCGAAGAUGACGGCUGCUAGGAUAACAUGGGUGCACGCAAAGAAAGAUGUUGGUGGCAUUUCAAUGAACUGGUCACCUUUAGCUCACUGAAGGAAGGAAAUGGAUACAGACACACACAGUGUGAUUUGAGGUCAGAUAAAGCUGCCAAAGUGUCUGGAGUCUGUGUCAGGCUCAUCCUGGAGCUGCCUCCCCUGACACUAACAUCUGAUAAGGUUUCAGGAAAUCCACUCUAAUCCCUGCUGAUCCACCCAAUGGGAGGUAGAGGCCACCUAACCGAUGCCAGGCAGUCGGUGAAAUGAAGGGGUUGCCGAAGUCACUGCAGCUGAGCAUCCGUGAAAAAUCAAAUAAUGAGAAGAAUCUAUGAAUGUG